CUACGGGGGGCAGCAGUGAGGAAUAUUGCACAAUGGGGGGAACCCUGAUGCAGCAACGCCGCGUGGAGGACGACGCAUUUCGGUGUGUAAACUCCUUUUAUAUGUCAAGAAAAUGACGGUAGCAUAUGAAUAAGCACCGGCUAACUCCGUGCCAGCAGCCGCGGUGAAUACGGAGGGUGCAAGCGUUACUCGGAAUCACUGGGCGUAAAGGACGCGUAGGCGGGUUGGAAAGUCAGGUGUGAAAUCCUACAGCUUAACUGUAGAACUGCACUUGAAACUUCUAAUCUAGAGUAUGGGAGGGGGAGAUGGAAUUAGUGGUGUAGGGGUAAAAUCCGUAGAUAUCACUAGGAAUACCUAAAGCGAAGGCGAUCUCCUGGAACAUUACUGACGCUAAGGCGUGAAAGCGUGGGGAGCAAACAGGAUUAGAUACCCCCGUAGUC
rnacentral:rRNA from 1 species